CUACGGGGGGCAGCAGUGGGGAAUAUUGCACAAUGGGCGCAAGCCUGAUGCAGCAACGCCGCGUGAACGAAGAAGGUCUUCGGAUCGUAAAGUUCUUUUCUUAGGGAAGAAAAAUGACGGUACCUAAGGAAUAAGCACCGGCUAAAUACGUGCCAGCAGCCGCGGUAAUACGUAUGGUGCAAGCGUUAUCCGGAAUCACUGGGCGUAAAGGGAGCGUAGGCGGUUUUGCAAGUCAGAAGUGAAAGGCUACGGCUCAACCGUGGUAAGCUUUUGAAACUGCAAGACUAGAGUGCAGGAGAGGCAAGUGGAAGUCCGAGUGUAGAGGUGAAAUUCGUAGAUAUUAGGAGGAACACCAGUGGCGAAGGCGACUUGCUGGACUGUAACUGACGCUGAGGCUCGAAAGCGUGGGGAGCGAACAGGAUUAGAUACCCGCGUAGUC
rnacentral:rRNA from 1 species